rnacentral:tRNA from 1 species
UCCCUGAUGGUCUAGUGGUUAAGAUUCAGCGCUCUCACUGCUGUGGCCCAGGUUCGUUUUCCAGUCAGGGAA